UACGCCCAGACGUUUCUCCCUAAUCGAUGAUAUAGUUCAUUAAUGCGUUUGCCUUAUUGUUACGUUUCGUCCUGUUUCAAAUAUGUACCCUUCCAAUACUAAAUGAAACUGUUUUUGAGCAAUGUAUCACUCAGUCGUCAUAACUAUCGAAAAUAAUUAAGCUUCUUGACAAAUGCGCAAACGUCUGCCUGCGCUCGAACAACUGUAUCAGCAACCUUCGAAACAAACUCCAGACAACGAUAACAGCUGGCCGGCGUCGUCCGCUCUGCAAGCUUUCUCACAGACUGACAAAACAAUACGUCGACGAACAAGUCAGUGAUUCGAUUGUCAUCGGGAACGCAUGAAUCGGAUGAAUUGCUAAUUUUUGAAUACGCGCGGGCGCACAGUUUUGUCUGUUGUUCUGGGCCUUACAGCGACAAUGCGACGGUGACGGUGACAGCUGACGACGCAAACGCGAGCAGGAAUUUUCGAAUAAAACAGUGUUUUCUAUCACACCCGUGUGUAAACGGUAUUGGCUACACUGUGUGCCUGUUCAACACUUGAUAGCAAAUAAACUAUCGGGCGUGUUCACUAAAUUCAAGCACCCUCAGCAUAUUGAGCGAACGCUCGAAACUGCCAUUCCUAUGGAUUACCGCGGUGUAAAGGUCGAUUGUAUCCCCUUCCGCAUUUAACAUACAUCGUAUAUAUCAUCGUCUACUGGCAUUCCAUAGGUACCGGUGUUUCAAUGGUCGAAGAACUAGGUUGAACCUAACGCUUUCAAUGUUCGUCCAAAAGCAGUGGCCGACUGGCAGAGUUUUUUUUUGAGGAAAACAUCGCGGAUUUAGACACGAGACGCUUCUCCGUUGUCUUCCCCUCAGACAAGUCUGUUCCAUCAACUGGGUCCUUCGCUCCUACAAAGUUUGCUUCGUAAUCUUCUUUCCACCCGUAGGCGCCUACAAGUUUGGCGGGCGUCUUUAGGCGACGUCUUUGGGGUCGCUUCUCAUUCUAUGCCACCGUUGUGUUUUAUCUUCGUGGUUCAUCUCUCAUUCCGAUACGACCAUUCUUCACAUCGGCGGGUUGAUGCGGUUCUUCAAAAGAAAAUGGGAACAUCAAAAGACUCGCCACCAUCACCAAUAACAACAGCGAUAACAGUUCCAUAGCCUACUCUGUUUCCCUUUUUUUUUCUAUCUUGGAAUGCCCCUUCCCUUUGCUCUCGGUUUUUCAGUCGCAACCUCUUGUGCAAGCUUUUCAUUGUCUGUCUAUUACAUACAUUAGAGAUAUGUAUGCCUCUAUACACGUAUCUAGUUGUCUAUAAUAUCGAACUAUUGCGGUACGUAGACCCAUUGGUUCGGGUAGCUGGUGGUAGGGCUUUUCUCUUCUGUAAAUAUCUUCCCCGUCCAUACCUCUCUUUCUCUUUUGCUAUUCGCUUUUUUCUUCCUUUCUCUUAUGCAUAGUCAACCCGUCUGUUCCAAGUUGGAAGCCCAUCGAAACUCCGCCACAAGUUUGCUUUUUGCAGCCUCAUUCCACGAGGCACGUGACCGUGCCUGCGGAUGGCAUUCUUCCAGCCUGCUAUUAUUACUGCUACCACUAGUACUCUUGUCGUUACCGUCUCGGCCGACGCGCAAGCUACAACGAUGGCCGACUUGUAUGCUCCUUGGAUUGCGAGUCCACUGGGCCGUGUAACCGCCCCAUUAAAGGAGCGACUGGACCGAACCAAACCUCAGUCCCAUGGCCGGCCAUCAGCUAGAUCUGAGCAGGAUAGAGUACUAAGGCCACGUUAUCCUCAUUUUCAUCCUCGUGCUCAUACUCCGACCACCGCGAGGCUUCGCAUCCUACCCUUAGGACAUCCCGGAUGACACGAGCAAGUCGCUCGUAUUCUUGCUUUAUUCAGCGGCAAGAAGAACUGCGGAAGAGAAGAUAGAAGCGGAAUGUAAGUUACUUCUUGGAACACGUUGUCGUCCAAGUCUUAGCGCCCCUUCUGUGCCCACACGAGUUUCCUACGCAGUCACCUUAGUCAAGGCUGGCGCCUUUUCUGGAGCGGACAAAUAACAGCAC